UACGUAGGGUGCAAGCGUUGUCCGGAAUUAUUGGGCGUAAAGAGCUCGUAGGCGGCUUGUCGCGUCGUUCGUGAAAACCUGCAGCUCAACUGCAGGCUUGCGGUCGAUACGGGCAGGCUGGAGUUCGGUAGGGGAGACUGGAAUUCCUGGUGUAGCGGUGAAAUGCGUAGAUAUCUGGAGGAACACCGGUGGCGAAGGCGGCAUUCUGGACCGAAACUGACGCUGAGGCGCGAAAGCCAGGGGAGCAAACGGG
rnacentral:rRNA from 1 species